rnacentral:rRNA from 1 species
GAUACGGGACUCUAAUGAGGCCCCGUAAUCGGAAUGAGUACACUUUAAAUCCUUUAACAAGGAUCCAUUGGAGGGCAAGUCUGGUGCCAGCAGCCGCGGUAAUUCCAGCUCCAAUAGCGUAUAUUAAAGUUGUUGCGGUUAAAAAGCUCGUAGUUGGUUCUGCGUACCUCGCUGUCGGUUCGCCGCCUGCCGGUGUAACUGGCAUGUCGUGGUAUGUCCUGUCGGUGGUAAACGAGGUCCCUGAUCGGAUGUAGGCUAUUUAUUAGCCGAAAUCUGUAUCGUGUGUGUUCUCGUUUACCGAUCUCUCCUACUCCGGUGCUCUUAAACGAGUGUCGAGGUAGGCCGACACGUUCACUUUGAACAAAUUAGAGUGCUUAAAGCAGGCUAAAAUAUCCGCCUGAAUAGUGGUGCAUGGAAUGAUAAAACAGGACCUCAGUUCUAUUUUGUUGGUUUUAGGAAUAUGAGGUAAUGAUCAAUGUGGACUGGCGGGGGCAUUCGUAUUGCGACGUUAGAGGUGAAAUUCUUGGAUCGUCGCAAGACGCACUAGAGCGAAAGCAUUUGCCAAGUAUGUCUUAAUUGAUCAAGAACGAAAGUUAGAGGUUCGAAGGCGAUCAGAUACCGCCCUAGUUCUAACCAUAAACGAUGCCAGCCAGCGAUCCGCCGAUGUUCCUUUAAUGACUCGGCGGGGAGCUUCUACUCGGGAAACCAAAGCUUUUGGGUUCCGGGGGAAGUAUGGUUGCAAAGCUGAAACUUAAAGGAA